rnacentral:miRNA from 1 species
AUUUGAUUGUUGCUCAGAAAGCCG